rnacentral:tRNA from 1 species
GCCGGUAUAGCUCAGCUGGCAGAGCACCUGAUUUGUAAUCAGGGGGUCCGGGGUUCGAUCCCUCGUGCCGGCACCA